rnacentral:rRNA from 1 species
GGCAGGCGUUGAAGGUCCCCUUCCGGGGGGGCUGGAGCCAUCAUUGAGAGACCACUCUGGAAGAGCUAGAGUUCUAAUGGUGAUCUUUGAAACAAGACACUUGACAGUUUCAGGUGGGCAGUUUUCCUGGGGCGGGAACCUCCCAAAGCGUAACGGAGGUGUGCAAAGGUUCUCUCAGUCUGGACGGAAAUCAGACAUUGAGUGUAAAGGCAAAAGAGAGCUUGACUGUAAGACCAACAAGUCGAGCAGGGGCGAAAGCCGGCCUUAGUGAUCCGAC